UACGAACUGUGCAAACGUUAUUCGGAAUCACUGGGCUUAAAGGGUGCGUAGGCGGCUCGUUAGGUAGGGUGUGAAAGCCCCCGGCUCAACCGGGGAAUUGCGCCCUAAACCGGCGGGCUGGAGUGAGAUAGGGGUGUGUGGAACUUCCAGUGGAGCGGUGAAAUGUGUUGAUAUUGGAAGGAACGCCGGUGGCGAAAGCGACACACUGGGUCUCAACUGACGCUGAGGCACGAAAGCCAGGGGAGCAAACGGG
rnacentral:rRNA from 2 species